rnacentral:rRNA from 1 species
CCUACGGGGGGCAGCAGUGGGGAAUUUUGGACAAUGGGGGCAACCCUGAUCCAGCCAUGCCGCGUGCGGGAAGAAGGCCUUCGGGUUGUAAACCGCUUUUAUUCGGAAAGCGGUACCGGAUGAAUAAGCACCGGCUAACUACGUGCCAGCAGCCGCGGUAAUACGUAGGGUGCGAGCGUUAAUCGGAAUUACUGGGCGUAAAGCGUGCGCAGGCGGUUCGUUAAGUCAGCUGUGAAAGCCCCGGGCUUAACCUGGGAAUGGCGGUUGAAACUGGCGAACUUGAAUCUGGCAGAGGGGGGUGGAAUUCCACGUGUAGCAGUGAAAUGCGUAGAGAUGUGGAGGAACACCGAUGGCGAAGGCAGCCCCCUGGGCGAAUUGACGCUCAGGCACGAAAGCGUGGGGAGCAAACAGGAUUAGAUACCCCAGUAGUC